UGACAACGGGGCUAAGUGACCUUGGACUGAAACUUCUGAAACUGGCUGCAGUAACUGGAGGAUGGGAGCUGGAGACUGAUGUGACAGUCAGUGUAUAUUUUACACUUAGAGCACAUCUCAAUUUGCUAGCUGUACGUGGCUAGUGGCUACUGUGUUAGAUGACUCAGAAGUUGCUGAUGUACAAGUCUUUCUUCAUGUCCAGAUUCAAAAUCUACAAAGGGCUCCUAGGUAUCCACCACUGGGCUGCAUUUUGAAAGCUAAAAAACACUAACUUAUUCACAAGAAGAGCCUAAUGCUCUCUCCACCUGCACCCAUCAUGCUCCUCUUUGUAUUCCUCUUCCCUAACUUUUAAUAAAGU